rnacentral:rRNA from 1 species
UACGGAGGGUGCAAGCGUUGUUCGGAAUUACUGGGCGUAAAGGGCUCGUAGGCGGCCAACUAAGUCCGACGUGAAAUCCCAAGGCUUAACCUUGGAACUGCGUCGGAUACUGGUUGGCUUGAAUUCGGGAGAGGGAUGCAGAAUUCCAGGUGUAGCGGUGAAAUGCGUAGAUAUCUGGAGGAAUACCGGUGGCGAAGGCGGCAUCCUGGACCGAGAUUGACGCUGAUGCGCGAAAGCUAGGGGAGCGAACGGG